CAAAACCACAAUCACUGCUGCUCAGCGCUUGAAACCUAUCACUUUGCAUGACAGAUAGCCUACACGGGCUGCAAAUGCAUUAUGGGAAAUCGCCUUGUGUCACCGGGUGACCACGGGCCGCUAUGUAUGGACGACAGUGUUUUCUGUUAACGCCGUCAUCAACAGCAACACGAGCACAGUUGCUAAUCCAGCCACUCCAACUAAAUCACCGGAGACCCCAGACAGAGGGAAAGGGCACCCAACUUCUCCACUCGCCUGAGGGAGAUGAACCAAGGAGAGAGCCGAGCCGGAGGAAGAAGGCAGAAGAGGGAGAAAGAGAGAAGCGAGAAGGGCAAAAUAAUGUGUCAGCUCUCGUGAAAAAGAGCGAUAGAACCAAUUCCAGAAAUGGGGGAGAGAUAUUCCCAAAGCUUGUGUAUUAUUGCCAGGAUGUUGGACAAAGCAAAUAUCUAAUACAGCGCAGUAAAUCCUC